rnacentral:rRNA from 1 species
CCUACGGGAGGCAGCAGUGAGGAAUAUUGGACAAUGGGCGCAAGCCUGAUCCAGCCAUGCCGCGUGCAGGAUGACGGUCCUAUGGAUUGUAAACUGCUUUUAUACGAGAAGAAACACUCCGACGUGUCGGAGCUUGACGGUAUCGUAAGAAUAAGGAUCGGCUAACUCCGUGCCAGCAGCCGCGGUAAUACGGAGGAUCCAAGCGUUAUCCGGAAUCAUUGGGUUUAAAGGGUCCGUAGGCGGUUUAAUAAGUCAGUGGUGAAAGCCCAUCGCUCAACGGUGGAACGGCCAUUGAUACUGUUAAACUUGAAUUAUUAGGAAGUAACUAGAAUAUGUAGUGUAGCGGUGAAAUGCUUAGAGAUUACAUGGAAUACCAAUUGCGAAGGCAGGUUACUACUAAUUGAUUGACGCUGAUGGACGAAAGCGUGGGUAGCGAACAGGAUUAGAUACCCUGGUAGUCCACGCCGUAAACGAUGGAUACUAGCUGUUGGGAGCAAUCUCAGUGGCUAAGCGAAAGUGAUAAGUAUCCCACCUGGGGAGUACGUUCGCAAGAAUGAAACUCAAAGNGAGUGCGNGAGAGAGNGACGAGACGACGAGGAGGAGGAG